rnacentral:misc_RNA from 1 species
AACCGCCGUAUACGAGACCCGUACGUGCGGUGGUGUGAGAGGCGCAGUGGCGGCCAUAAGGUCGUCACCCGUCUACUCGAU